CCAAUCAAACUGGGAAAUAGCUCGUACUCUCCGAAAUGCAUUUCGGUGCAGCCUGUGAUGUUCUGUUCCAGAGGUAGAGCUACUGGUUGGACGCGAGGGCUUCACCGCCUAUCAAAUCCGGAUAAACUCCGAAUGCUGGAACACGAAAUCAUGGAGUGAGCCCGCGGGUGCUAAGGUCCGCGGACGAGAGGGAAAGAACCCGGACCACCGGCUAAGGUCCCGGAUGGACAGUUAAGUUGAUCAAACGAGGUGGGAUCGCUGAGACAGCUAGGAUGUUGGCUUGGAAGCAGCCAUUCAUUUAAAGAGUGCGUAACAGCUCACUAGUCGAGCGAUCCCGCGUGGAUAAUACACGGGCAUCAAACUGUCAACCGAAGCCGUGGGGUUAGUGAUGAGCUAACCGGUAGGAGAGCAUUCCUGCCAGCUUAGAAGGUCACCCGCGAGAGUGACUGGAGCGGCAUGAAAAGCAAAUGUAGGCAUAAGUAACGAUAAUGGGGGCGAGAACCCCCCACGCCGCAAGACCAAGGAUUCCCCGGCAAUGUCAAUCAGCCGGGGGUCAGCCGGCCUCUAAGGCUCACCCGAAAGGGGAUGCCGACGAGAAACGGGUUAACAUUCCCGUGCUUCUCGUCACCGUGACGCGGUGACGGGGUGAUGAAUGGACCGCGCGCUGACGGAAUAGCGCGUUGAAGGCCGUACCCUUUGACGGUGGUAGUCAAGCACGCCACCGGAGGCGAGAGCCGAUAGUACCACGAGACCCCGGUCGAGUGGAUAGCGUCCAGGCAAUUUACCCCCUAGAAAACCCGCUAAACUUCAAGUGACGAGGAACCGUACUGUAAACGGACACACGUGGUCGGGUAGAACAUACCAAGGCGCUCGAGUGAUUCAUGGUCAAGGAACUAGGCAAAAUAGUCCUGUAACUUAGGGAUAAAGGACGCUCUAGUGAUAGAGCCGCAGAGUAAUGGCCCAGGCGACUGUUUACCAAAAACACAUGGCUAUGCCAAAUCGAAAGAUGACGUAUAUGGCCUGACACCUGCCCGGUGCCGGAAGGUUAAGAGGAGAGCUCAUCGGAAACGAGAAGGUUUGAAUUGAAGCCCCGGUAAACGGCGGCCGUAACUAUAACGGUCCUAAGGUAGCGAAAUUCCUUGUCGGGUAAGUUCCGACCUGCACGAAUGGUGUAACGAUCUGGGCACUGUCUCGACCAUGAGCUCGGUGAAAUUGUAGUUCCGGUGAAGAUGCCGGGUACCCGCGACGGGACGGAAAGACCCCGUGAACCUUUACUGCAGCUUCGCGUUGUUCCCGGGCACGGGACGUGUAGGAUAGGUCGGAGGCUAGGAGUCGGUUUCGCCAGGAAUCGAGGAGCCAUCGUUGAAAUACGACCCUUCUCUUGUCUGGGAUCUAACCCAUGGUAAUGGGGACACCGCGUGGUGGGUAGUUUGACUGGGGUGGUCGCCUCCAAAAGCGUAACGGAGGCUUCCAAAGGUACCCUCGGGUUGGUUGGUAAUCAACCUUAGAGUGCAAUGGCACAAGGGUGCUUGACCGGGAGACUAACAAGUCGAUCGGGUGCGAAAGCAGGGCAUAGUGAUCCGGUGAUCCCGCGUGGAAGGGUCAUCGCUCAAAGGAUAAAAGGUACUCCGGGGAUA
rnacentral:rRNA from 1 species